rnacentral:rRNA from 1 species
GUCCACGCCGUAAACGAUGGAUACUAGCUGUUGGGCGCAAGUUCAGUGGUUAAGCGAAAGUGAUAAGUAUCCCACCUGGGGAGUACGAACGCAAGUUUGAAACUCAAAGGAAUUGACGGGGCCCGCACAAGCGGUGGAGCAUGUGGUUUAAUUCGAUGAUACGCGAGGAACCUUACCAAGGCUUAAAUGUAGAUUGACCGUUUUGGAAACAGAACUUUCGCAAGACAAUUUACAAGGUGCUGCAUGGUUGUCGU